CUUGCUCUGUGGGAUCAGUGGCGAACGGGUGAGUAACACGUGAGCAACCUGCCCCUGACUCUGGGAUAAGCGCUGGAAACGGCGUCUAAUACUGGAUACGAGUAGCGACCGCAUGGUCAGUUACUGGAAAGAUUUAUUGGUUGGGGAUGGGCUCGCGGCCUAUCAGCUUGUUGGUGAGGUAAUGGCUCACCAAGGCGUCGACGGGUAGCCGGCCUGAGAGGGUGACCGGCCACACUGGGACUGAGACACGGCCCAGACUCCUACGGGAGGCAGCAGUGGGGAAUAUUGCACAAUGGGCGCAAGCCUGAUGCAGCAACGCCGCGUGAGGGAUGACGGCCUUCGGGUUGUAAACCUCUUUUAGCAGGGAAGAAGCGAAAGUGACGGUACCUGCAGAAAAAGCGCCGGCUAACUACGUGCCAGCAGCCGCGGUAAUACGUAGGGCGCAAGCGUUAUCCGGAAUUAUUGGGCGUAAAGAGCUCGUAGGCGGUUUGUCGCGUCUGCUGUGAAAUCCGGAGGCUCAACCUCCGGCCUGCAGUGGGUACGGGCAGACUAAACUGCGGUAGGGGAGAUUGGAAUUCCUGGUGUACGGGGGAAUGCUCCAUAUAACGACGAAACCGAGAGCACGGAAGCUCUCUGGCCCGCAACCGACGCCGCGA
rnacentral:rRNA from 1 species